UACGUAGGGGGCAAGCGUUGUCCGGAAUUAUUGGGCGUAAAGCGCGCGCAGGCGGUGGAUUAAGUCUGAUGUGAAAGCCCACGGCUCAACCGUGGAGGGUCAUUGGAAACUGGGGAGCUUGAGUACAGAAGAGGAGAGUGGAAUUCCAUGUGUAGCGGUGAAAUGCGUAGAUAUAUGGAGGAACACCAGUGGCGAAGGCGGCUCUCUGGUCUGUAACUGACGCUGAGGCGCGAAAGCGUGGGGAGCAAACAGG
rnacentral:rRNA from 1 species